UACAGAGGUCUCAAGCGUUGUUCGGAUUCACUGGGCGUAAAGGGUGCGUAGGUGGUGAGGUAAGUCGGAUGUGAAAGCUCCGAGCUCAACUCGGAAAUGGCAUUGGAAACUACCUUGCUAGAGGGUUUGAGGGGGGACUGGAAUACUUGGUGUAGCAGUGAAAUGCGUAGAUAUCAAGUGGAACACCAGUGGCGAAGGCGAGUCCCUGGAAAACUCCUGACACUGAGGCACGAAAGCUAGGGGAGCAAACAGG
rnacentral:rRNA from 1 species